rnacentral:rRNA from 1 species
UACAGAGGUCCCAAGCGUUGUUCGGAUUCAUUGGGCGUAAAGGGUGCGUAGGUGGCGCGCUAAGUCGGGUGUGAAAUUUCGGAGCUUAACUCCGAAACUGCAUUCGAUACUGGUGUGCUUGAGGACUGGAGAGGAGACUGGAAUUCAUGGUGUAGCAGUGAAAUGCGUAGAGAUCAUGAGGAAGACCAGUGGCGAAGGCGGGUCUCUGGACAGUUCCUGACGCUGAGGCACGAAGGUCAGGGGAGCAAACGGG